AGGCAUUCUUUGGAAUGCACUCCAAGGGCUAGGACUAUUGCUCUCAUUGCAUUACAAGGAAGUGUACCUAUGAAUCAGGGCAAGAAAGAUUAGAACCACUUUCCAUAAAAGCCUCAGCCUCAAAGAAUCUGAAAGAUUUAACUAGCAGUCUAGAUGCCUUCCUUCUGACAAAGGCCUUUGAAAUCACAUCACAUGUGGAACCAUCUCCAUCACUGAUUUGUAAAGUCAACUGUGGUCCUUGCCCUGCUAUACUAUCAUUAUUAUCAUUCAAGCCCAUCUGACAUUUUCUUCAUUAUUGUGCAUUUAUUGAGUGCCAGUGGGAUGCUACACCAAAGAAGCUGCUAAAAGUUGUCUCUGGGUCUCUCAGACCACCACUGAUGGGGUGUUGAUAAGUGGAAGUAGUUACCUCAGGUCGACUGUUCCUGCAGCCAGGCUGGAAGCAGUCACUUCAAUGGAAAGCUCCGUGGUCCCUGCCAGCUCCUCUGGUCCACAGAUGUCUCAGGAUGUAGCCCCACCCUUUGUUGGUUGCAGCCAUGGAAUUUGCAAAUGAUCAGCGCACCAGAGUUGUAACCGACCUUACGUUGUACUUCCACAAAGAAUCUGAGGCUCGUUUGAUGAAAAUGUUGAGAUUCGCUGAAUUGAUAAAUGUCAACUAAGUGGAGAAAGUAACUGAGUGGUUUCCACAUUGAUCUGUCAUCAAUGGAGCUGUAGAUCAGAUGGCAACGUGAUCAUUUUUAGCGCAGUUCUUGUCUUCCUCUGUUCAAAUGCACCAAACGAAGCGCCCAUUUGCUGACUAGAAAUUCACAGUUGAGGUCGACUGAUGAUGCAGUGCAAAGAAGCCUGUUCUGUUCCUCUGCUCGCAAGAACCAAAGAAAUCUGCAGACUCUGUGUAUUUACCCAGGGAUCGCUUUCCUGAGGGUGAACUGUAACCAGCUUCUUUGCAGAAUGGAGCCAUCAUCGGGUGCCAGUAGCACUACAGUACAACGUUUAAAGGGGGAAAUGAAGGCUAGCUCCUCCGAAGGAAACUACAGGGGAAUUUUAGAGCAGCAGAAUGCAAUUAUCCAAGUUGGAAUUGUUCCAGGACACCAAAAGAGAACUCUAAAGGUUUUAAUAGCCACAAAUGUCUCUUAGCAUUUCCCUCCCUUAGGAAGACAAUAUCAGAGGGCUGGCAUCAAUUCCUUAAAAUCAUACUGGCAAAAGAUAAACAAAGCCCAAGAUAUAGAAAUAUAUUUUACACUAAAAAAAAAAAAGGGAAAAAAAACACACUGAAACCCAAUCCUCAUAUUUCUUGGCUCAGAGUAGCAGGCUGACUAGUUACCCAAAAUGAGCUUACUGCAAAAAUCACUCUGUUCUCACCACAGGCACAAUUUACCAACUGGGUGCAGCAGACACUGGGUUGGCUCCUGAACUUCUCUCCUCCAAUUAAGCUGCACAACCUGUUACCAUUUUGCCAAUGGACUCUAUUUACUUAGGUUCUGCGUAACUUGCCAAGUGCUCACUCUGUGGAAUUCCCAGCAAAGAGAAAGGAACAAUUGGGGGAAAUUUUUGUUAACAUCCUUCCUUUUAACUUUCCGUAGCAGAGGGGAACGCAUCAACGUGGAGCAGAUGUGCUGAGACCAAAUGCUCUCUUCCUCAUGAUUACAGUUGGUUAUACCUGUGGAUAGGCAAGCUAAUUCCACUGCAAAUAUGCAAGAGAGGGUAGUACUAACGUACAAUGUGUGGUCCUGGAGGCUUUGUUGCCAUGUAAUCAGGUGCUUCGUUUCACAAGACCUGGCACGUUGAGAAGAAAACUGAAGCAAAACGGCCCUGUGCAUUCGGAAUUGCAAGCUCUCACUGUACUGCUUAGAGAGUGCCCUAGUUCUCAGCAAUGUUGACAUAAAUGUCGUGGAAUUUCUUAUUUGGAGUUUAAAAGUAAUGAUUCUUUCUACUUAAUCUUCUCAGCAACUCUGUGCCCUAUUGUUUUCCACCAUUUGAAAAUGCCUGAGGAUGUCAUUACAACUACGUGUAUCAAUAUUAAACCUUUACAAACAGUUUA
rnacentral:lncRNA from 1 species